CCGAAGUAUAGAAGGUUUUGAGAUUCCGUUGGUAAUAAACUCGAGGUUAAGUUUCCCCCUCCUCCUUGAGGUCACGGACUGUGGAAUUAAGUUUCGUUUAGGGAUAACAAGGCAGCGAUUCACGUGGAAAUCUAUUCACUUCCGGCUUCGUCCUAAAACCGAAAGCACAAUGGCGGCUGGCCAGAAUAUACCUGAUCUUGGCGGCUAUGAUUUGAAGUUUAAAAGUAAAGUUCCCGACGAUUUUCAUUGUCCUGUGUGUCAGCUGCCAAUGAAAGACCCUAGACAGAUUGAAAGAUGCGGCCACAGACUUUGUACCAUCUGCUUAGAGGGCCUGUUUAGGCAACCUUCUGCGAGAUGCCCAGUCGACAGAGAGCCACUGUUACGUGAAAAGAUAUUUUCAGAUAACGCAUGUCAGCGCCGAAUUCUGGAUCUUCACGUUGAGUGUUCAUUUGAUGGGUGUUCAUGGACAGGAGAACUGCGUGCUAUGGAGAGACAUCAGUCAGAAUGCCUUUUCAAAGUGGUGGAGUGUUCGAAUGCAGGAUGCAAAGAGAGGUUAACUAGAACUGACAUAAACAAUCAUAAGGAAUUUGAUUGUCCCUGGAGAGAAAUAAACUGUGAUUAUUGUCGAGUAAUUGUCAUCAUGAAAAACAAGCAGCAACAUUUUGGUGUCUGUCCAAAGUUCCCUAUUCCAUGUACGAACAACUGCGAUUUGAGACACAUUCCACGAGAAAAGCUAGAGGUUCACAUUCGAGAUGACUGUCCUUCAACCAAGGUUCCUUGUGAAUACAAGAACUUAGGAUGUGGAGAAGUGUUUCCGAGGAAGAGCACUAAAUCCCACCUGGAGUUACACGCCGAACACCAUUUAGACCUUGCUCUUCGAGGCCUAGAGGCGACUCGGUACCAAGUAGAAGACCUCCUCGGUGUUGUCAAGGAUCAGUCGCAACAGAUCGAGGGAUUAAAGUCAAAAGAUAAAAAUCAAUCACAACUGAUAGAACGACUAAACCUCACAGUUCAGUGUCAAGCACAGCAGAUUGAGCAAUUGACCACCAAUGCUAAAGAUCAGGUAGAAAGAAUUGUAGAAGCUAAGGCUAUGAUUAAUUUUCUAUCACAACAGAUAGAGGAGCUCAUGCUUGACAAAGGCAAGGGUGAAAACCAGCCGCAGAAUGCAGAAGUAGGCAGAGAGCUUCAGCCGAAGAAGCAGUCGUUCGAGUCGCCGAGUCGUUUCCCUGUUUAUCAAAGAAAAGAAGAAACAGACAACUGUACACAAAAUCCGCAGACGGAUGUCUGGACUCCAAAACAUCUCCUAAAUCCACAAUUUGGAAGUGGUUUAUCAAGUUGUGCUACACAUCAUCCACGUUUAUUAGUCAGGCCAUUUGCACCUGAUAACAUCCGUGACAUUAAGCUAGGAAUGGAGCUUUUGGUUACUAGAUCACGUGGACAGAGCGGACGUGGAACGGUGAGGUACAUAGGAAAAAUACUUGGUCGUAAAGACGAUUAUAUUGGAGUUGAGUUGGGACCAGGUCAAGAGGGAAAGCAUGAUGGAACCCUUGAUGGGCAGAGAUAUUUUUCUUGUUUCAAAGAAGAGGGACUAAAUCUCACUUGGAAUCACACAUGGACAGCCACUUAAACUUAGCUGUUCGCAGCCUUGCGAUCACUCAGAAUCAGGUUAAAGAUCAGUCUCAGCAGUUGAAUAGCCAGUCAAAACAAAUAGACCGUUUGAUGGCCAAAGAUGUGAGUCAGACACUAAAAAUUGGGCGAUUGAUGUCCUCUCUAAAAGAUCAGUCGCAGCAGUUGGAUGAUCAGUCCAAGCAGAUAGCCAGUUUAAAGUCCACUGUGCAGGGUCUGGUGCAGCAGAUAGAAAGACUGAAGGGUCAAGAUCGACAUCGAGCUAUGCAGGUGAACAAGACGGCCAGGGAAGCCAUGGGCGGGCUAACCAAGAAAGGGGCAACUAAUGUCAACCCUAAAGAGGAUGAAACUAUGAAACAGGGCUUUGGGCCCAAAUCAAUCAGUGACAUUGAAGUAGGUAUGAAGGUUUUGUUUCAGCAUCCUCCGUUUCCCGGGAGAUUUUGAGGAACAGUCAAGUACAUCGGACCUGUUUUUGGGUGGAAAGACGGUCUCGGCUUAGAGUUGGAUCCAAAUAUAGAAUUACCGGCGUCAACGUGCACUAGAAUCAACGGAAUAUUCCGCGGAAAAAAGUGCUUUACCUGACUUAGAGAGGGCUAAAGAGCUAAAGAACUUGCUCCUGGCAAGGAACCAUUCUUCAAAAUGUCCGGUAGACAGACAGCUUUUUUUGCCUGACAAGGUGAUACUAUCAAACAGGGCUUCAAGCCUAUAUCAAUCAAUGAUAUUGAAGCAGGUAGGAAGGUAUUAAUUGUGGAUUUGUAU
rnacentral:misc_RNA from 1 species